AUAUCUCUCCGUACGGGAAGGAUGAGAAGCUUCGACUAAGGUUCGAUUCGAGCGCAGCGAGAAAGCGUUGCCGCAGGCAACGACCCGAAGGGCGAAGCGCGCAGCGCUGAGUCAUCCUUCCCCCACCACUA
rnacentral:sRNA from 1 species